UAUCUAUCUUUCUUCUCACGUAAUUUCACUGCAUGAGAGAGACAGACACACAAAAGAGUACACCAAAUUGUAUGCUAGUCUUUCUCCAAACUGCAGGCUGGGAUGGGAUUGGGGCAUUCAGAAACUUAGAAAGUUUGACAAGAGCCAUUCUUUGCAGUAGAGUCCCAAUAUUUUACUUUUAUUGUUGAAGGUACUAGCAAGCUGGCAAUUACCAGAUUUUCACACUUUCAUUUUCUUAUUGCACUUUUUUUCUCCCGUCUUUUGAUUUAUUCAAUCCAAAAGCUAAAAAAAAUAGAGAGAAUUGCACAAGGAGAAAAUGGGAGUGCGGAAAUCUCGAAUCAUCAGACAGACACAGGCAAAAACAAGAGGAAGUAACACCAUGAAAUGGACAACACAAGACUUUGAAUCUUUUCAUUCAUGAAAUCUGCACAGUAAACAAAUGGUGUCACACUAGGAUCCUCUCCCAACAUGAACCUACAUUUACCUAAUUGGAUUUGGGGUAUCCUUUUUUUCCCCAAAACUACAUGAACGGUAAAAACACUCAACAGAAAAAACACAUCAUUUCCCAGUGCCCAUAUAUCCCGUUAAAAGGCCGGGGACCGGAGCCUGACUCCCCCUAGGGUCCGAAUUGCCGAACCCCGAGGUAUCUACAAACUCGCCUAAGUAACAAGAUCACUGCUUACACAAGUCCUUUAAGCUUACUUAAAUUAACAGCUAAUUGCGCUUUAACUCCGAAUAUGAAUUACCCUUCGCCAAGCGCUGCUACUACGACUCCUCUUCAUCAGAAGAUAAAACUAUGGCACUCCUCCUAACUACAUUUGCCAUCUCGCUGUACUCGAUAUCUUAUUCUUGUUUGCUCGCUUCUUCUCUUGCUGUGGUGUAAAAUUAAGGGAUUAGGGUGCAACAAUUAUGAUAUGUUAUCUCACUCUUUCACUAACCCCGCGAAUUGGGUUCCAUGUUCGUUGAAGUUGUGGGAGCACAAACAGCUUCUACUGACAGCCGCUUCAACACAUUCGGACAUGGAUCUCCAAAGUUGCUGUUGGAUAUGGUGACUGCACAUCUCUGCUUCCCUAUGCACUUCU
rnacentral:lncRNA from 1 species